rnacentral:rRNA from 1 species
AUUGAACGCUGGCGGCAUGCCUUACACAUGCAAGUCGAACGGCAGCACGGAGCUUGCUCUGGUGGCGAGUGGCGAACGGGUGAGUAAUAUAUCGGAACGUACCCAAGAGUGGGGGAUAACGUAGCGAAAGUUACGCUAAUACCGCAUCCGAUCUAAGGAUGAAAGCAGGGGACCUUAGGGCCUUGUGCUCCUGGAGCGGCCGAUAUCUGAUUAGCUAGUUGGUGAGGUAAAGGCUCACCAAGGCAUCGAUCAGUAGCUGGUCUGAGAGGACGACCAGCCACACUGGAACUGAGACACGGUCCAGACUCCUACGGGAGGCAGCAGUGGGGAAUUUUGGACAAUGGGGGCAACCCUGAUCCAGCAAUGCCGCGUGAGUGAAGAAGGCCUUCGGGUUGUAAAGCUCUUUUGUCAGGGAAGAAACGGUGAAGGCUAAUAUCCUUUGCUAAUGACGGUACCUGAAGAAUAAGCACCGGCUAACUACGUGCCAGCAGCCGCCGUAA